rnacentral:rRNA from 1 species
UACGUAGGGGGCAAGCGUUGUCCGGAUUUAUUGGGCGUAAAGAGCGUGUAGGCGGCUAGGUAGGUCCGUUGUGAAAACUCGAGGCUCAACCUCGAGACGUCGAUGGAAACCAUCUAGCUAGAGUCCGGAAGAGGAGAGUGGAAUUCCUGGUGUAGCGGUGAAAUGCGCAGAUAUCAGGAAGAACACCCGUGGCGAAGGCGGCUCUCUGGUACGUGACUGACGCUGAUGCGCGAAAGCCAGGGGAGCGAACGGG